CCUACGGGUGGCAGCAGUGAGGAAUAUUGGUCAAUGGCCGGAAGGCUGAACCAGCCAUGCCGCGUGAAGGUCAGUGCCCUAUGGGCGUUAAACUUCUUUUGUGCGGGAGCAAUAAUGGUCACGUGUGGCCAGACGAGAGUACCGUACGAAUAAGCAUCGGCUAACUCCGUGCCAGCAGCCGCGGUAAUACGGGGGAUGCAAGCGUUAUCCGGAUUUAUUGGGUUUAAAGGGUGCGUAGGCUGUGAGGUAAGUCAGCGCGGAAAUGCCCCCGCUCAACGGGGUGAAGUGCCAUUGAUACUGCCUUGCUGGAGUGCGGAUGACGUGGGAGGAAUGUGCGGUGUAGCGGUGAAAUGCAUAGAUAUCACACAGAACACCGAGUGCGAAGGCAUCUCGCGAAUCCGCGAUUGACGCUGAUGCACGAAAGCGUGGGUAUCAAACAGGAUUAGAUACCCGAGUAGUC
rnacentral:rRNA from 1 species